GAUUAACGCUGGCGGCGUGCAUAACACAUGCAAGUCGAACGAUGAAACUUUAAUGAACCCUUCGGGGAGAAUUAAAGCGGAUUAGUGGCGAACGGGUGAGUAACGCGUGAGUAACCUGCCUUACACAAGGGGAUAGCCUUUGGAAACGAAGAAUAAUACCCUAUAAAACCAUAAAAGCACAUGCAAUUAUAGUCAAAGUGAUAGCGGUGUAAGAUGGACUUGCGUCUGAUUAGCUAGUUGGUGAGAUAAAAGCCCACCAAGGCAACGAUCAGUAGCCGGCUUGAGAGAGUGUACGGCCACAUUGGGACUGAGACACGGCCCAGACUCCUACGGGAGGCAGCAGUGGGGAAUUUUGCACAAUGGGGGAAACCCUGAUGCAGCGACGCCGCGUGAUUUAGAAGGCCUUCGGGUUGUAAAAAUCUUUUGUAUAGGAAGAAAAUGACAGUACUAUACGAAUAAGGUCCGGCUAAUUACGUG
rnacentral:rRNA from 1 species